rnacentral:tRNA from 1 species
GCCCAAGUGGCGGAAUGGUAGACGCAAACGACUCAAAAUCGUUCGGGUAAUUCCAUGGGGGUUCGAAUCCCCCCUCGGGCACCA